UACGUAGGCAGCGAGCGUUGUUCGGAAUUACUGGGCGUAAAGAGUGUGUAGGCGGUGCUCCAAGUCUGUUGUGAAAUCUCCCGGCUUAACCGGGAGGGUGCAGCGGAAACUGGAAUGCUUGAGGGUGGGAGAGGUAAGCGGAAUUCCUGGUGUAGCGGUGAAAUGCGUAGAUAUCAGGAGGAACACCAAUAGCGAAGGCAGCUCGCUGGGACGGUACUGACGCUAAGGCGCGAAAGCGUGGGGAGCGAACAGG
rnacentral:rRNA from 1 species